UCUCCGUUGGUGAACCUGCGGAGGGAUCAUUACCGAGAGAGGGCCGUCAAACGCCCGACCUCCCAACCCUUUGUCGAAUCAAACCACGUUGCCUCGGGGGGCGCCUCGUCGUCUUCCGGCGAGCACCCCCAGGGGACCAACCAACUCUGCGUCUCUGCGUCGGAGUAUUGAAACUAAAUCAAUCAAAACUUUCAACAACGGAUCUCUUGGUUCUGGCAUCGAUGAAGAACGCAGC
rnacentral:misc_RNA from 1 species